AUUGAACGCUGGCGGCAGGCCUAACACAUGCAAGUCGAACGGUAGCACAGAGAGCUUGCUCUCGGGUGACGAGUGGCGGACGGGUGAGUAAUGUCUGGGAAACUGCCUGAUGGAGGGGGAUAACUACUGGAAACGGUAGCUAAUACCGCAUAACGUCGCAAGACCAAAGAGGGGGACCUUCGGGCCUCUUGCCAUCAGAUGUGCCCAGAUGGGAUUAGCUAGUAGGUGGGGUAACGGCUCACCUAGGCGACGAUCCCUAGCUGGUCUGAGAGGAUGACCAGCCACACUGGAACUGAGACACGGUCCAGACUCCUACGGGAGGCAGCAGUGGGGAAUAUUGCACAAUGGGCGCAAGCCUGAUGCAGCCAUGCCGCGUGUAUGAAGAAGGCCUUCGGGUUGUAAAGUACUUUCAGCGGGGAGGAAGGCGGUAAGGUUAAUAACCUUGUCGAUUGACGUUACCCGCAGAAGAAGCACCGGCUAACUCCGUGCCAGCAGCCGCGGUAAUACGGAGGGUGCAAGCCUUAAUCGGAAUUACUGGGCGUAAAGCGCACGCGGCGGUCUGUCAGUCGGAUGUGAAAUCCCCGGGCUCAACCUGGGAACUGCAUUCGAAACUGGCAGGCUGGAGUCUUGUAGAGGGGGGUAGAAUUCCAGGUGUAGCGGUGAAAUGCGUAGAGAUCUGGAGGAAUACCGGUGGCGAAGGCGGCCCCCUGGACAAAGACUGACGCUCAGGUGCGAAAGCGUGGGGAGCAAACAGGAUUAGAUGCCCUGGUAGUCCACGCUGUAAACGAUGUCGACUUGGAGGUUGUUCCCUUGAGGAGUGGCUUCCGGAGCUAACGCGUUAAGUCGACCGCCUGGGGAGUACGGCCGCAAGGUUAAAACUCAAAUGAAUUGACGGGGGCCCGCACAAGCGGUGGAGCAUGUGGUUUAAUUCGAUGCAACGCGAAGAACCUUACCUACUCUUGACAUCCAGAGAAUUUAGCAGAGAUGCUUUGGUGCCUUCGGGAACUCUGAGACAGGUGCUGCAUGGCUGUCGUCAGCUCGUGUUGUGAAAUGUUGGGUUAAGUCCCGCAACGAGCGCAACCCUUAUCCUUUGUUGCCAGCGGUUCGGCCGGGAACUCAAAGGAGACUGCCAGUGAUAAACUGGAGGAAGGUGGGGAUGGCGUCAAGCCAUCAUGGCCCUUACGAGUAGGGCUACACACGUGCUACAAUGGCAUAUACAAAGAGAAGCGACCUCGCGAGAGCAAGCGGACCUCAUAAAGUAUGUCGUAGUCCGGAUUGGAGUCUGCAACUCGACUCCAUGAAGUCGGAAUCGCUAGUAAUCGUGGAUCAGAAUGCCACGGUGAAUACGUUCCCGGGCCU
rnacentral:rRNA from 1 species